AUUUCGAUCGGUUGUAAAUUUAGGAGGGAGAAGACCUAAAAACAACGUUGCUUGGGAUGAAAUUGAGUCUCCUCAACAACCGGGUGGUGUGGAGUGCGGAUAUUAUGUGAUGAGAUACAUGUAUGAAAUAUGCACUCUAUAUUCUGAUUUUGAACAUUUAGACACGGCAUUUGAUGCAAAGCCUUACUCACAAGAGCAAAUUGAUGAGAUUUGUGAGGUUUGGUCUAAAUAUUUUAUUGAAGAAUGCAUAUAACUUUGAAAUGUUGAGAACUUUCAUUUGAAUUGUUGAGAACUUAGAAGUGUUGUGAAUUUAUGCAUUGAAGUGUUGGUAAUGAAGUUUAGUUUACUUUUUGUUGAGAA